AGGCUCAGUGGUGUUGAGUGUCAUGGAGCUUUUGUAGCUGUCCCAGGGACUCUUGCCAUGCUUGACACACAACAGGUGCCGCAUAAGUACUUGUUGAUUUUGGAUACCUGCUGUUUUCUCUGGUGGGCAUUGCACUGGGGGAUCUGGGAGCCCUGGGAGUCCACUGGGGCACUUGGAAGCUUCCUGUUUUCACUUUUGUCAUUUCC
rnacentral:lncRNA from 1 species